rnacentral:lncRNA from 1 species
GCCUCCACCAUUUCCCUCUCCCUCCGCUUCCUCUCCGACUCCGACCUCCUCCUCCUCCCCUCCCAAACCCGGUCCCUCGAAUCCUCCCUCUUCUCUGCCUCCUUCCCUCCGGUUCCCUCCAAUCCCUUGAAACCCUAACCCUAGAGCCCUCUCCUUCAUCUUCUUCCUCCUCUUCUGCCCCUCUUCCGCCUCGAGCUGCAGCACCGACUGUUCCCCAUUGAAGAAAAUGGUCGAAGAUUUUGCAGCCAAUCUUUGGCCAUACUGCAAACAG